rnacentral:rRNA from 1 species
UACGGAGGGUGCAAGCGUUAUUCGGAUUUAUUGGGCGUAAAGGGCGUGUAGGUGGUCUGAUAAGUCAGGUGUGAAAGCCCCUGGCUCAACCAGGGAAGUGCACUUGAAACUAUCAGACUUGAGUACGGGAGGGGGAAAUGGAAUUCCUGGUGUAGAGGUGAAAUUCGUAGAUAUCAGGAGGAAUACCGGUGGCGAAGGCGAUUUCCUGGACCGAUACUGACACUGAGACGCGAAAGCGUGGGGAGCAAACAGG